AUAUCAAUAAGCGGAGGAAAAGAAAAUAACAAUGAUUCCCUUAGUAACUGCGAGUGAAGAGGGAUAAGCUCAAAUUUUAAAUCUGUUAGGUUUACCUAACCGAGUUGUAAUUUGAAGAGGCGUUUUCUACGUUUUUGAUCAGUCCAAAUUCCUUGGAAUAGGAUAUCAUGGAGGGUGAGAAUCCCGUUCGGCUGAUCGAUACGUUUUACGAUACGCUUUCAAAGAGUCAAGUUGUUUGGGAUUGCAGCUUAAAAUGGGAGGUAAAUUUCUCCUAAGGCUAAAUAUUGGCGAGAGACCGAUAGCGAACAAGUACCGUGAGGGAAAGAUGAAAAGAACUUUGAAAAGAGAGUAAAACAGUGC
rnacentral:rRNA from 1 species